AUCUGACAAAUGUUUUAAAUGCUACACUCAUGAUCUUAUUAUCCAUCAACUUUGUCUUGCUCACUAUGCUUAAGGUUAGAGAGAACAAAUACACUUUUGGUUCUGUUGGUGUUUUCCACCAACAGGGCCCAUGCACUUGAUCUCUGCCUUGUCUCUACGAGCAGGUACACUUCGAGCAAAAUAUGAAGGACUUUUACAACUCCCAGACUCCACCAAGUGAAGAACCUAGAUCUACG
rnacentral:lncRNA from 1 species